rnacentral:lncRNA from 1 species
CAUUUACCGAAAGCAGUCCCCUAUGGUUCAACUUCUCGUUCAUUCUCACCCGGCCUGAAUUCGGCAUCUAUAAAAUGGGGGUGAUCCUGUCUCACAGGGUCAUUGGAAGGAGAGUUUUCUACUGGGUCUCCGGAACAAGCUUUGCUCAACCAAAACAGGCUGCCUUUCAGGGUCCCACACAGCCAGGCAUGGAACAGGCAGCCACUGUGUUCCUGAAAUGAGACCAGCAUCUGUCUUUGAUCUGGGCUCUAUGCACAACAUGGACAAUGUGUGAGGACGGACGUGGCCAGGGGCCACCUGUCUCUGUAUCUUGGGCCAUUCAGAGCUCUGGGCCAGGUCAUUGUGAAGAACUACACUUCUCUGUAGGCCAUUAUGGUAAUAAAGAGUUUAGCAGACAAGGGCUCAGGACACGCCCCUUCUGUGCCCAGGCAGAGUGUGAUGUCAUCAGCAAAGCCAGCACGCAAGUUGGGGUCAGAGGACAGGGUGUCAACUCUCACCUCUUCACCUUGUUCGAGACGUCUCUCUGCUGGUGUGUGUGCCAGGCUACUGAGGAUUGCCCUGUGUCUGAUCCCCGUUCCCUAGUAGGGAUUACAUAUGUCUGCACGGUUGCAUCUACCGUGGGCUUUGAGGGUCUGAACUCCAGCUGUCAGGCUUACAUGUCAAUCACUUUGUCUCCUGAACCAUCUCCCCAGCCCCAUACUCCUCACCCUUGCUUUGAUGGUCAUCAAGCCCUUGGUAGUGGUCACGUGAUUUUAAGUCCUAUUCUCUUUGCCGUAGGGUCCUCCCUUCCAUUGAAUGCACUGCAUGGAUUUUCCCUGUUUUCCUGCGGUUGGACUCCAGGGCCUUGUGCAUAGGAGGCAAGCACUCCAACUCCGAGACACUGCCCUCGAUGGCUGGCUCUGAAUCAGAUCCUAUAACCAAAUACAGGCAUCCCCAUCUCUAAAAGCCUUCUGAGAUUGCAUCGGAGAUAAUGGAAGGCGCCUCCGCCUCCGUAGUUUAAACAGAAGGAGUUUUGCCUAGCAAGGAGCAUUAGCAGCCCUCAAACCUUCGAGAGGGGAGAAGCAGGCUGUGAGCUGAGCCUUAGGGAAAACCUCCAGUCCCCAGAAUCCUUCUGGGUCCCCUCCACCGUUACCAAGGAAACCAACAAAUUGGGAAGCUCCUUAAGCAUACCAAGCCAGUAAAAAGAGAAGCGCGCACCCCAUUUCUCUUCCUAUUUAAACUCUUUCCAAAGCCCAGUCCUGUUCGCGUGACUCUGGUUGGGGAAGGCUGAAUCGCAUCUGAAAGUCUUCCUCGCAAGAGGGUUAUAGGGAAAUUGGUUUUCUUUUCCUGGCUUCUUGGUAUAAAAAGGCACGCUUGAAGGAGGUUGGAAUAAAUGUUG